rnacentral:rRNA from 1 species
UACGUAGGGCGCAAGCGUUAUCCGGAAUUAUUGGGCGUAAAGAGCUCGUAGGCGGUUUGUCGCGUCUGCCGUGAAAGUCCGGGGCUCAACUCCGGAUCUGCGGUGGGUACGGGCAGACUAGAGUGAUGUAGGGGAGACUGGAAUUCCUGGUGUAGCGGUGAAAUGCGCAGAUAUCAGGAGGAACACCGAUGGCGAAGGCAGGUCUCUGGGCCUUACCUGACGCUCGGGUGCGAAAGCUAGGGGAGCGAACAGG